rnacentral:tRNA from 6 species
GGGACUGUAGGGUAGCUUGGUAUCCUUCGGGCCUUGGGUGCCCGUGACCCCGAUUCAAAUUCGGGCGGUCCCA